UACGUAGGGGGCAAGCGUUGUCCGGAAUUAUUGGGCGUAAAGCGCGUGUAGGCGGCUCGAUAAGUCUGCUGUGAAAGUUCAGGGCUCAACCCUGAAAUGCCGGUGGAAACUGUCGAGCUAGAGUCCGGAAGAGGCGAGUGGAAUUCCUGGUGUAGCGGUGAAAUGCGCAGAUAUCAGGAGGAACACCAAUGGCGAAGGCAGCUCGCUGGGACGGUACUGACGCUGAGACGCGAAAGCGUGGGGAGCAAACAGG
rnacentral:rRNA from 1 species